UAUAUAUAUAUAUAUGUAUAUAUGUAUAUGUGUGUAUGUCUGUAUGUUGGGUUGUCUGGAAAGAUCAUGCCGAUAUUUAAAGGAAAGAAAAAGAUCAAUAAAUACUUGCCAUUACAUUUUUAAUCAACCAAAUAUGAACCAUUUUGUUGCACAAUGCGUCUCUAUCUUUCCUUUAACUU